UACAUGUCGGAGACUGUCAAUAGUACGGACACUAAACGUCACACAAGCGCGCCCUCUGGUGGCGUUUCCGGUGAAACAACAUUUUGGCGCGCUUGGCAGAGUCGUGGUGGUCGGCGUGGCGUCCGCGGAGCUCAGUCUUCGUUGAGUCGUCGUGUUGCACACAUCUCGAAACUGCCUUACGUCACGUCUAGUGUAUCUAGUGUUAUUACCUAGUGUUGUAGUACCGUUGUAGAUCCAUAUUGUAAAUCGUAAAGUGUCGUUUGAAAUUAAAGUGUAAAGGUUCUUCUAACCUAACAGACAGACAUGUGUUGCUGGGGAGUUUGUUCCGCCACUUCUUCUCCCCAGCCAAAACACAUAGGAAGUGGCGAAGGGCGGGCGUUUUGGGGGUUGUCUUUUGUUCUGACCAAUUUGAAUAAACGUUUGAGUUUUGAGUUUGUUUAAGUUUCUUUGAGUUAUCUCUUUGUACGAUUACCCUAACUGAUGUCGGACGAUAGUGCCAUCCUGAUGUUUCGGCGCCCUCCGACAUCAGAAGUGGGAUGCAAUCCGAAUGCCCACAUGCGUUUCGAAUUCGCCAUGCGAAGAUAAAUUUCUACCCACUAACAAAAAAAAAAUGUAACGUCGAUAAUUUGAAAUGAAGUUUGUAGUAGAAGAUUUAUUAAGAAUUUCAGCGAAGGUACAAGUAUGGUAACCACGGUUAUGGUAAUGGUAUCGUUUUCCAUUGUUACAUGUCAAGCUACUUAUUGAGGGUAUGCUAGAAAAUUAACCGAAUUUGUCUUUUUUCAUGUUUCAACAAUGACGGUCGUUAUUGUGCAAUAUGGCGACAAAAUUACUGCGGAGCAUCCCAGCUGCCAGGAGCCUGACGUGUCAUCGUGAGGUCGGAGUGUUGGUGCUCGUGCAUCUACGUGGCUUCACGUCCGCGAAAGCCUUGCUGUACUGCGCGCCAUAGCGAUGUGCGCAUCGUCAUGCGCGUUGAGGUGUUGAGUGGAAACCCGGUGAGACCGAUCCAUUUUUGCUUUAUGUUAAGGUUAUUUGUCUUACGACAUUUUUAAACUUGAGGCAGUUUCAGUCUCGUUGUUUAGUGGUAGUGCUCAUUAAUUGGUGGAAUCGUAGAUAAUCAGAAUCAGAAACCGUGAACCUAGGUUUGAUCCCAGAGUUGAAAAUUAUUAGUUAUCUGAUCUCAUCAAUAUCCUAAAGUUAGAAUAUUUCAGUUUUUGCGUCAUUUGAUUGAAUUGUGCAUCAGACGAUAGAUUUUUGGUAAAGUGUUACGUUCACCUACUCUGUAAUUUCGUUGCGCUAAGUUGUACCAAUGAUAGAGACCAGGGUGACUUGGAAAAGACUCGUUGGCCUGUGUGAUGGCAUCGGGGUGACCAAGAAGAGACCUGUGUAAAGUCUGCGGUACUGUUUUUAUUGUGUUAAGCUGUAACUAUGAUGGGUAUCGGGGUGACCUGGAAGAGACUCGUUGGCCUGUGUGACGGCAUCGGGGUGACCAGGAAGAGACCCGUAUACAUCUGUGGUACAGUUGGUGUCAUGUCACUGUGGUUGUGGUUGUGGUCCCUAGGAAGCCAGGAUGGGCUGAGAGCUCGGCUAAGGGACAACAGUCAUGUGAAGCCUAGGUAUUUAGUAAUUUACAAGUUGAGUCUGACUAGCAAUUCGAUCUUUCUUUGAUUACGUGCUUAGCUUUUAAGGUAGGGAUCUAGUUUCUUCAUUUGAAUAGUGAUUGCUAUUCUUUAAAUCUGUAACAUGUGUGUAGGUCUUACUAUCUUACGAAACGAGAAGGUUUGUUGCUGACCCAUAUGUUGUCAAUAUUUGAUGCCUAAGCACUUUUCAUCUCUGACUUAACAGAUAACAUCUAAGGUGAACGGAGCCUGGAGAACAGAACGAGGUCUACUAGGCAAGCGGCGGGCGAGGUGCGCUGCAUUGGCUGUUUGCAGCGUCGUCCUCCCCCAGAUUCGUCGUGGAGGCCGUAUGAGUUGCGGCAGGCCAGAACAUCGCGUCUUAUCGCACAAGAUUAAACGACCACGAGGACGUGGUCUACGCAGGAUGGCCGUGUCGGAGACUGUCGAUAGUACGGACACUAAACGUCACACAAGCGCGCCCUCUGGUGGCGUUUCCGGUGAAACAACAUUUUGGCGCGCUUGGCAGAGUCGUGGUGGUCGGCGUGGCGUCCGCGGAGCUCAGUCUUCGUUGAGUCGUCGUGUUGCACACAUCUCGAAACUGCCUUACGUCACGUCUAGUGUAUCUAGUGUUAUUACCUAGUGUUGUAGUACCGUUGUAGAUCCAUAUUGUAAAUCGUAAAGUGUCGUUUGAAAUUAAAGUGUAAAGGUUCUUCUAACCUAACAGACAGACAUGUGUUGCUGGGGAGUUUGUUCCGCCACUUCUUCUCCCCAGCCAAAACACAUAGGAAGUGGCGAAGGGCGGGCGUUUUGGGGGUUGUCUUUUGUUCUGACCAAUUUGAAUAAACGUUUGAGUUUUGAGUUUG